GAUAGUGUGAUGUCCAUCUCUUCUGGCUCUAAUAGGACAAAUCUGCAGACUCCUGUGAGAUUGAACCCUGGCAGGUGUACAGAAAACCUUUGGUGUUUAAUGUCCUGGUCCUGGAUGCAGCCACCUUGAUAGUGUGAUGUCCAUCUCUUCUGGCUCUAAUAGGACAAAUCUGCAGACUCCUGUGAGAUUGAACCCUGGCAGGUGUACAGAAAACCUUUGGUGUUUAAUGUACUGGUCCUGGAUGCAGCCACCUUGAUAGUGUGAUGUCCAUCUCUUCUGGCUCUAAUAGGACAAAUCUGCAGACUCCUGUGAGAUUGAACCCUGGCAGGUGUACAGAAAACCUUUGGUGUUUAAUGUACUGGUCCUGGAUGCAGCCACCUUGAUAGUGUGAUGUCCAUCUCUUCUGGCUCUAAUAGGACAAAUCUGCAGACUCCUGUGAGAUUGAACCCUGGCAGGUGUACAGAAAACCUUUGGUGUUUAAUGUACUGGUCCUGGAUGCAGCCACCUUGAUAGUGUGAUGUCCAUCUCUUCUGGCUCUAAUAGGACAAAUCUGCAGACUCCUGUGAGAUUGAACCCUGGCAGGUGUACAGAAAACCUUUGGUGUUUAAUGUCCUGGUCCUGGAUGCAGCCACCUUGAUAGUGUGAUGUCCAUCUCUUCUGGCUCUAAUAGGACAAAUCUGCAGACUCCUGUGAGAUUGAACCCUGGCAGGUGUACAGAAAACCUUUGGUGUUUAAUGUACUGGUCCUGGAUGCAGCCACCUUGAUAGUGUGAUGUCCAUCUCUUCUGGCUCUAAUAGGACAAAUCUGCAGACUCCUGUGAGAUUGAACCCUGGCAGGUGUACAGAAAACCUUUGGUGUUUAAUGUCCUGGUCCUGGAUGCAGCCACCUUGAUAGUGUGAUGUCCAUCUCUUCUGGCUCUAAUAGGACAAAUCUGCAGACUCCUGUGAGAUUGAACCCUGGCAGGUGUACAGAAAACCUUUGGUGUUUAAUGUACUGGUCCUGGAUGCAGCCACCUUGAUAGUGUGAUGUCCAUCUCUUCUGGCUCUAAUAGGACAAAUCUGCAGACUCCUGUGAGAUUGAACCCUGGCAGGUGUACAGAAAACCUUUGGUGUUUAAUGUCCUGGUCCUGGAUGCAGCUACCUUGAUAGUGUGAUGUCCAUCUCUUCUGGCUCUAAUAGGACAAAUCUGCAGACUCCUGUGAGAUUGAACCCUGGCAGGUGUACAGAAAACCUUUGGUAAGAAAGUCAUUUUUGACCUUUAGUGUAGAGUUUAGGUGGCUAAACACUACACUAAACAGACCCCCUGAACCUAUGUGCUAAAUGUUUGUCCCAUGAGCAGAGAACAGCAUACAUAAAUAUACUGUGUAGCCUGUAUAGAGAACAAGGGCAUGAUCCUCC